rnacentral:snRNA from 1 species
UUGGCUUCUCGGCCUUUUGGCUAAGAUCAAAGUGUAGUAUCUGUUUCUUUAUCAGCUUAAUAUCUGAUACGAUCCCCAUGUGGGAUCUACGAUAUUUUAAACUGAUUUUGAAAAUGGCGAAGUGCUUUAGGGCUUGCUCCACCUUUGCCGCGGAUCGGCCCGGUAUUGCAGUUACCUCCGGGAUUGGUCCACUCCCC